rnacentral:rRNA from 1 species
GAUGAACGCUGGCGGCGUGCCUAAUACAUGCAAGUCGAGCGAACAUACGAGGAGCUUGCUCCUCUGACGUUAGCGGCGGACGGGUGAGUAACACGUGGAUAACCUACCUAUAAGACUGGGAUAACUUCGGGAAACCGUAGCUAAUACCGGAUAAUAUAUUGAACCGCAUGGUUCAAUAUUGAAAGACGGUUUUGCUGUCACUUAUAGAUGGAUCCGCGCCGCAUUAGCUAGUUGGUAAGGUAACGGCUUACCAAGGCAACGAUGCGUAGCCGACCUGAGAGGGUGAUCGGCCACACUGGAACUGAGACACGGUCCAGACUCCUACGGGAGGCAGCAGUAGGGAAUCUUCCGCAAAGGGCGAAAGCCUGACGGAGCAACGCCGCGUGAGUGAUGAAGGUCUUCGGAUCGUAAAACUCUGUUAUUAGGGAAGAACAAAUGUGUAAGUAACUAUGCACGUCUUGACGGUACCUAAUCAGAAAGCCACGGCUAACUACGUG